CUCAGGCCACAGCCACUGGGUUAAUGACGACUGUAUACCUGCCACCUGAAGGAGUCUAAGAGAAGAUCAGCACUGGGACAGAAGCCGAAAUGAAAAAAGAAGGAGGGAGCCAAGCUCAAAGAGGUGCAGUUGGUACCCCAAGGUCCCACAGUUAGAGAGUGAUGGAGCUGGAUUUGAACAAAGGCAGUCUGAUUCCGGGGCCCAUCUUCUGGAGCACCACACCUGAGGUGCAUGUUCCUACACAGGUGCUUUGCCAAAGAAGUGAGCACUGAAACGGCCUCCACUCUGCGCAGGCCACUGGGGCCAAAGCCAGCUCCUGGAGGUGACAAGAUUUCCUGUUGGUGUUUGUCCACAGAUAACAAGCCAUUCACCCUAAAGACAGGAAGGGAGGAAGGAAGGGGCAAACAAAAAUAUGGACAAAGAAAACUUUAAAGCCACUCUAAGAAAUAGAAACAGAGGCCCCCGGACACCCAACAGUCCAGGCCAGCUCUCCCG
rnacentral:lncRNA from 1 species